rnacentral:tRNA from 1 species
AGGCGGUUAGUAUAUGAAGUACAUUAGUUUGUCAUGCUAAAGGCGCAUAGUUAGUUAAGCACCGCCUG